UCAUGAGGGACGAAGUACGGAAUUUUGUUUUUGAUGUAUUAUUAUGUUCAUGGACUCGAUAUUUGGUAUGGGCUUUUAUUCAAUUCAAAAGGGGCCGUGUAUAGCUAGAUAUUAUUCGUCUAGGACAGUCUGCCGUUUCAAUUACGUCUUCUCGCCGUUGAAUACCUUCUUCUUCUUCUAGAGACGUAACGGGACUAGGCUGUAUCCAAAGGUCGUCUUUAACGAACUUUUAACAAUUGCUCCAACUCCUCUAACAAUCUAUCAUUGAAUGCAUCUUCCUUUAUUUCCUUUCUCUGAAUCUUCGACUAUAUAUAUAAAGGUACAUCCUAUCCCGUGAGAUUCAUCUCUUCGAUCCUCUCACCCGUAAGCUUUCCAAUUCCACACAUUGAUGGUCUCUGACGAAGGUAUGGAAACAGCUCUGUAAUCCGACAAGUUACCUUCUCAAUAUUCAAUUCCACUGAAUAGUUUCUUUCAGCGACAGGUUUAGGUUCCCUGUCUAACAAGAACAUCAACGGAAGAGGGCCAAGGAGCUACUCAAUCCACAGUACUGUCCUUACUUCUGGAUGAAUGAUUUGUGAGAUUCAUUCAAUUACUUUUAUCGAUUUGACAAAUCUAGGAAUCAUCAUGAUGAAAUUCAAGAUGUAUAUAGCCUUUGUUUGUUUUAAAAAACAACAAGAUAUUACGUUUCUAUUUGCAAAUACAUGAAAAAAUAAAUCACAACUUGAAAAGUUUGUUAUUUUUUGAAAUAUAUGUAGAUUAGAUAACAACAUAUGAUUGGAAACAUAUGCAAACUCUUGAAAAAAAUUUGUUACCAGUUGGCAAAGUAUAUGGAACAUGAGAGAGGUUUGAGGAAGUCGGGAAGAGAAGGACACACGUCGUGGCUUAGGGAAAAGAGGUUGAGGUUGUUCAAAAAAAAAAGGGGAAAAGAGGUUGCUUUGUUGACCGAAUGAUAUUGCAUAUUUUCUUUAAUUUUCUUUCUAAUCAAAAGAACAUGUGGUAUAUUGAAAUUUAUCCUUUUGUUAGGCUGGAAUCUGAAAAUCAAUCUUAUAUAUUAAAACAGAAGUCACAACCUUGAUUCAUGUGUGAUUUUUUUAAAAAAUAGACCUAAUGGACUUAUUCCCAGAAAAUCAUAUUACAUUUAAUAUAUAAUCUUAUCAUUUAAAUUUUGGGCCUAAUAGAAAUUUUUAUUGGGCUAUCAAUAAUUGAAUUUAAAUAAUAGAUGAUCCAUUAGAUUUAUAGAUAGUAUAAAUUAAAUAGAUAU